rnacentral:rRNA from 1 species
CAGCCGCCACGGUAAUACAGAGGGUGCGGGCGUUAAUCGGAUUUACUGGGCGUAAAGCGUGCGUAGGCGGCUUCUUAAGUCGGAUGUGAAAUCCCUGAGCUUAACUUAGGAAUUGCAUUCGAUACUGGGAAGCUAGAGUAUGGGAGAGGAUGGUAGAAUUCCAGGUGUAGCGGUGAAAUGCGUAGAGAUCUGGAGGAAUACCGAUGGCGAAGGCAGCCAUCUGGCCUAAUACUGACGCUGAGGUACGAAAGCAUGGGGAGCAAACAGGAUUAGAUACCCCGGUAGUCCCUGUCUCUUAUAC